rnacentral:rRNA from 1 species
AUUGAACGCUGGCGGCAGGCCUAACACAUGCCAGUCGAGCGGAUGAAGGGAGCUUGCUCCUGGAUUCAUCGGCGGACGGGUGAGUAAUGCCUAGGAAUCUGCCUGGUAGUGGGGGAUAACGUCCGGAAACGGGCGCUAAUACCGCAUACGUCCUGAGGGAGCAAGAGGGUGAUCUUCGGACCUCACGCUAUCAGAUGAGCCUAGGUCGGCUUAGCUAGUUGGUGGGGUAAAGGCCUACCAAGCCGACGAUCCGCAACUGGUCUGAGAGGAUGAUCAGUCACACUGGAACUGAGACACGGUCCAGACUCCUACUGGAGGCAGCAGUGGGGAAUAUUGGACAAUGGGCGAAAGCCUGAUCCAGACAUGCCGCGUGUGUGAAGAAGGUCUUCGGAUUGUAAAGCACUUUAAGUUGGGAGGAAGGGCAGUAAGUUAAUACCUUGCUGUUUUGACGUUACCAACAGAAUAAGCACCGGCUAACUUCGUG